AGACAUCUUAGUGGCGGACGGGUGAGUAACGCGUGAGGAACCUGCCUUUCAGAGGGGAAUAACGUUUGGAAACGAACGCUAAUACCGCAUGAUACAUAGAUACGGCAUCGUGACUAUGUCAAAGAUUUAUCGCUGAAAGAUGGCCUCGCGUCUGAUUAGCUAGUUGGUAAGGUAACGGCUUACCAAGGCGACGAUCAGUAGCCGGACUGAGAGGUUGAACGGCCACAUUGGGACUGAGACACGGCCCAGACUCCUACGGGAGGCAGCAGUGGGGGAUAUUGCACAAUGGGCGCAAGCCUGAUGCAGCAAUGCCGCGUGAGGGAAGAAGGUCUUCGGAUUGUAAACCUCUGUCCUCAGUGACGAAACAAAUGACGGUAGCUGAGGAGGAAGCCACGGCUAACUACGUGCCAGCAGCCGCGGUAAUACGUAGGUGGCGAGCGUUAUCCGGAAUUACUGGGUGUAAAGGGAGCGCAGGCGGGAAGGCAAGUCAGCGGUGAAAUACAUGGGCUUAACCCAUGAACUGCCGUUGAAACUGUUUUUCUUGAGUGAAGUAGAGGCAGGCGGAAUUCCGAGUGUAGCGGUGAAAUGCGUAGAUAUUCGGAGGAACACCAGUGGCGAAGGCGGCCUGCUGGGCUUUUACUGACGCUGAGGCUCGAAAGUGUGGGGAGCAAACAGGAUUAGAUACCCUGGUAGUCCACACUGUAAACGAUGAAUGCUAGGUGUGGGGGGUCUGACCCCCUCUGUGCCGCAGUUAACACAAUAAGCAUUCCACCUGGGGAGUACGGCCGCAAGGUUGAAACUCAAAGGAAUUGACGGGGGCCCGCACAAGCAGUGGAGUAUGUGGUUUAAUUCGAAGCAACGCGAAGAACCUUACCAGGUCUUGACAUCCAACUAACGAAGUAGAGAUACAUCAGGUGCCCUUCGGGGAAAGUUGAGACAGGUGGUGCAUGGUUGUCGUCAGCUCGUGUCGUGAGAUGUUGGGUUAAGUCCCGCAACGAGCGCAACCCUUGCCAUUAGUUGCUACGCAAGAGCACUCUAAUGGGACCGCUAUCGACAAGAUGGAGGAAGGUGGGGACGACGUCAAAUCAUCAUGCCCCUUAUGACCUGGGCUACACACGUACUACAAUGGCCGUUAACAGAGGGAAGCAAAACUGCGAAGUAGAGCAAACCCCUAAAAACGGUCUCAGUUCAGAUUGCAGGCUGCAACUCGCCUGCAUGAAGUCGGAAUUGCUAGUAAUCGCGGAUCAGCAUGCCGCGGUGAAUACAAUCCCGGCCUUGCACUCACCGCCCGUCA
rnacentral:rRNA from 1 species